rnacentral:lncRNA from 1 species
GGAACCAGUCGAGCGAGCGGAGGUUUGCAUGUGUCUGGCUCCCUGGCUGGCCUUGAACUUGCUAAGUAGUAGAAGAUGACCUUGAACUUCUGACCUUCCUACCUCCACCUCCUGAGUAAGUGGUGGCAUGCCUGGAUUAUGUGAUUCCAGGGGUCAACCCCAGGGCUUUGUGCAUGCUAGGUCGGUAGGCAUUCUACCAACUGAGCUACACCCCUCUUCCACAGUGCUUUCUUCUUUCUCAUUGAAGACAUCUUGGCACAUGUCUCUAGUGCCAGCUACACAAUCAGAUCAAUCGGUUCACUGUGAAACUAGUGCGGAAGGUUCCUGGACACACCUCUUGUGGACAGUAGCCGGGAGCUUAGCAUCCUGUAUAGCAGCAGUGGCCCUCUCACACGGUAGCACCGUGGAAUUCCCCAUACAUGAAAGCCUUGCUGUACAGCCUUAAAGCAUCUUGGCUCUCAGGCUCCAGGCUCUGACUCUCUUCAUUGGCCCAGCAAAGGCACAGUUAGACAGAAAGUGAGGAUGCCCUCCUAGGCUCCCUCUACAGUGUGCUGUGGGUAGACCCUACCCACUAGGACUUUCUGUGAUGGCAGUAUCCUAGUCUGUAUUUCCUGGUUUAGCCCUGAGUGGCCUGUAGCACUGAAGAACUAGGUACUUGGGCUUUAUUUACUCUGGUGAGUGUGCAUGCCCAUGCAUGUGAGUGUGCAGAUGCACACACGUGCACAUGUACAGGUAAGAGGGCAUUAGGUGUCCUCUAGCACUCUUUCUCAUUCCCUUGAGGCCAGGUUUCUCCCUGAGUCUGGAUCUUGCCAUCUCAGCCUCCGUGUAGUGUGCACGGUUGCAGGUUACACCACAAGCAUUCUUGCCCACCGAGUCAUCUCCUCAGCUGGAUUUUAAUUCAUUUUAACUUUAUCAGUCCCGGGUGGCUGUAGACACUAGAUGGGACAGUGCAGAGAUUGCGUUAGGUAAGCAAUGAGAGAGAACAGCGACGACGGGAAAGAGGUUUCGUUUGCUCCCUGGCAGGGAGCCGCCCAUCUCAAAGAGCAGACACACAAACUGAAAGUGGGGUGAGGAGCAGACUGUGGCAGCGUACACCUUUGGUCUCCACACUUAGAGGUGGAAGCAAGCAGUUUUCCAUGACCUGCCAAGGCUAUAUGGUGAGACCUUGUUGUCCUCAAACCAACCCCCCCACCGCCACCAAAAG